GAAGUCGCCUAGAUGGCCGCGUCCGCGUUGCGGAUGAGGAAAGUCCGGACUCCAUAGGGUCAUGGCGCUGGGUAACGCCCAGGGGGAGAAAUCCCACAGAUAGCGCAACAGAGAGCAAACCGCCGAUGGGCGUCCGACGGACGUCACAGGUAAGGGUGAAACGGUGGUGUAAGAGACCACCGGCCGCUGCGGUGACGUGGCGGGCCAGGCAAGCCUCGCCUGGAGCAAGACCGAAUAGGGGGACGUUGGUGGACCCGCCGUGGUCCCCGGGUACGGUCGCACGAGGCGGGCAGCAAUGUCCGUCCCAGAUGAAUGGUCAUCGCCUGGGGUCGCGCAAGUGGCCGCGGGAACAGAAUCCGGCUUACGGACGGCUUCUCCC
rnacentral:RNase_P_RNA from 1 species